rnacentral:lncRNA from 1 species
CCUAGUGCUCACCCUACGAUCGCCCCGCACCGACUGUGCCGACGACCGAGGUGGUGCUUUCGCGGCUAUCGAAUGGAGGAUAUCGAGUGCAGUGCUUUUGCGGACAAUGAGUGUUUUCACGCACAUCGCGAGAACAGUGACAGGAAGAUGCGUCUCGUGACAGACCAGGACUGAAUGUGAGGAUUAUGGUGAGGCAGAGGGACCCGGACAUUGGACGAGCAGUCGAUAUGCCGCGGGCGCGGCCGUCGGCAAGAGAAUCGAUAUCGUCAAAAAGUGAAAGCGACCACAAAAAGGACACAUGUGCAUUGUGAAGCCUUUCUUCGGUUUAGAGCACACUCACACACACGCGCGCACCGGAACUGUUGCUGAGAAUGCAAUGCCUUCCGGAGAUGACCAGGUAUUGACGUUAUACCUACUGAGGUAGCGUGGUUACAGGUUAAGGACUAUACAUAUAGGUGUUUAAGGCAAAUGAAAUUGACACGUUACGAUAGCAUGCCAUUUAUGUAAAUAUAAGUAGAAUAAGUGCGGCGCGGUGAUCGUGGUGACAGUAACUAUUUUAUAUAGUGUGAAACGCGUAGUUAUAGGCGGUGCGGUACUUGUGGUGAUGGUGCCUUGACAUAGAUUAUCUAUUGUUUGAAAACGGAACCUUAGUUGCGGUGAUGGUAUUUAGAUAAUAUUCGGGGUAGGAUUGAGAUAGCCCUCCGGCGGGGCAUAUUGUAUUUUUGUGGUGAGUCCCAUCAUGUGUCUGUAUCCAUUGUUCACUUAUCUCGUUGGCAUUGACCCGUAGAGUACAUGUGUUAAUGGAAGAAUGGGGGGUAGGUGACAUUACCCCACAACCAGUAUGGACGGAUAGUAUGAGCAGCAGACAUUUCGGACGGUGCACACAUUGUUGCUUGAAUCACGAGUGACUAUGAACUUUUCCCCUCCUUCAGCAUGGACGGCCCACAGACAACGACUCCCGACGUUGACGGGAUGGCCCCGGCGUCGUCCUGACCGACGCCGCCGCCGACUCCGCCCCCUACAUCACCCGACCAUGACGGGGACUCGGAGGCGGGGUCGGAGACGGUUUACGAGCUGUCCCCGACCCAGCCCGUGUGGGACCUCUCCCAGCCGGUCGGAGAGGUGGUGCGGUGCGCCUCCCCAUGGUCGGACGAGUCGGAGGACUGGGAGACAGAAGCGGAGGAGGAGGAGUUUCGGGCAUUUUUGCUCUCCCUCUUCGAGGAGGACGAGACCGCCAUUACAACUCCUCCGAAUCCGCUUGUUAACUGACACUAUGACGACCAAUCAAAGCCUCCGACGUGGACGAGAUGGCUCGGGCGUCGUCCCGACCGACGCCGCCGCCGCCGCCGACGCCGACACGACUUCCGAUGAUGACGGGGACUCGGAGGCAGACUCUGAGACGGCCUAUGAGCUGUCCCCGACUCAGACCGUCUGGGACCGCAGCGAGCCGGUCGGGCAGGUGGUGCGGUGCGCGUCGCCCUGGUCGGACAUGACCGACUGGGACGAUGAGGUCGAGGAAGAAGUGUUUCCGUGCGUGUAGUCCGAGGCACUUGGCUCCCCAGCUGGGGAGACGCCAUCCCCACGAGAAAGGGGCCUCGAUGAUGGCCCUCACCCGGGAUACGCUGCUACGGCUGGAGCUGGCGGAAGACGACCGCUGCCCUGCCUGCUCCGAGCCCGAUAGCGUCGAGCACCUGCUAACGGAGUGUCCCGCAUACUCCCGCACCCGAGGCCGGCUCUGGGGUUUCACAACAACACUCCGGGAAAUCUUCCAGGAGCCGGCAACCAAGAUCACGGAGUUUCUCCGAGGAGUGGGGCGCGCCGACCCCCCCCCCCCGUCGACGUGCUCCCGCGGCGGGCUCCCUAGGGGGCCCACGCGUGGCGUGCAAGAAGAGAGAGAGAAGAAGUGUUCCGGCGGUUUUUGUCACCGCCGAACCCACCUCCUCCGCCACCGUUCGCAAAACAAACUGGAUAUGCCCCCAUUCGAAGCCAAUGCAAGAUCGCUAAGAUUGAAUGCAGUUCGCCGAAAUUGAAUGAAAAAAUGCCGAUUUGAGGUGCAAAAAGGUGUAUAUAGAAAAGUCGUCAUGCCGUAUGUGCGGAAAGCUUGUGAUAGAAAGUACACACGUGCACAAACAGACUCAUGCAUACAAUGCUCCGUACAGAAAGUUCGUCCUUUUUAUUAUACCGGCCAAAUGUGUGCCGUGCUACGUUUUCGUAGAUACCAAUAACAUUGUAGGCCAAACGGCUACAAUCCUACUGUACGCCACUCGUCCUAUGUACAUUAAUGUCAUCACCAGCACUGACAUAACCACCAGCACCCAACUCCCAAUGACGCAUUUGCUCGAGCUCUGCUGCAGUGAUCGCUGACCUCACCUGAAGCUGCUCUGGCGCGGUGACCGUCUCCGGGCCGUCUUUCCGGGCCGUCUUUCCGGCCGUCUCCGGACCGACUCUGUCCCCGAGUCGAUGGUGGCGCCGCUGCCACCCAUCUACCGAUCGACGCCACUCGCCCAGGUGGUGCUGCUGAGCUGACUAUGGCGCAGGAGGGGACUGGUCAGAGGGAUUAUGCCGGCUCGCCGUCGAUAUUCUUGUGCUGAUGACGUCACUUGUCGCCCUGCAGUGCUACCAAAACAGCAUCCGAUGAUGUCUCCAUGAUCCCUGUUCUUCUGGGGGCAUCUGGUAUGCGCAGCGCUCAACCGGAAGACCACCCGCAUCUCGGAAAGACGCCUACUGCUGGUCAGGGCCCAUUGGGAUGCGUCGUCGGUCGCUUGGAUAAAUUUUUCCAACUUGUGUGUCCACUGUCCAAUGUCCAUGGAUAAUUGACAUGAUAUUCUUCGGCCCGACAUGAUAUUCUUCGGCGUGUUUGAAGAGUACGGCGGAACAAAUGCCUGUCGCACUACCUACUUGCCUUGUCCUGGCACAUAGCCAUUUCGCGUUUUCUUGUAUGCAACUGAUCAGGGUGGUGAGUUUACCAGAUGUUUGUUAUGGUAAAUGCAGGAGAACCUGUGAUGCGCUGAGACCCUAACCUAAACGAGUGGCGAAUAUAAAACGCAGCCAGAUCAUAUCAUCGUUUGACGUAUGGUGCUGGAUCUUGUGUGUAAUAUUGUUUAUGAUUUGAGAACAACAAUAGAAUAUGCAACGGAAAUGAC